rnacentral:rRNA from 1 species
GACGAACGCUAGCGGCGUGCUUAACACAUGCAAGUCGAACGGAAAGGCCCUGCUUUUGUGGGGUGCUCGAGUGGCGAACGGGUGAGUAACACGUGAGUAACCUGCCCUUGACUUUGGGAUAACUUCAGGAAACUGGGGCUAAUACCGGAUAGGAGCUCCUGCUGCAUGGUGGGGGUUGGAAAGUUUCGGCGGUUGGGGAUGGACUCGCGGCUUAUCAGCUUGUUGGUGGGGUAGUGGCUUACCAAGGCUUUGACGGGUAGCCGGCCUGAGAGGGUGACCGGCCACAUUGGGACUGAGAUACGGCCCAGACUCCUACGGGAGGCAGCAGUGGGGAAUAUUGCACAAUGGGCGGAAGCCUGAUGCAGCGACGCCGCGUGCGGGAUGACGGCCUUCGGGUUGUAAACCGCUUUCGCCUGUGACGAAGCGUGAGUGACGGUAAUGGGUAAAGAAGCACCGGCUAACUACGUGCCAGCAGCCGCGGUGAUACGUAGGGUGCGAGCGUUGUCCGGAUUUAUUGGGCGUAAAGGGCUCGUAGGUGGUUGAUCGCGUCGGAAGUGUAAUCUUGGGGCUUAACCCUGAGCGUGCUUUCGAUACGGGUUGACUUGAGGAAGGUAGGGGAGAAUGGAAUUCCUGGUGGAGCGGUGGAAUGCGCAGAUAUCAGGAGGAACACCAGAGGCGAAGGCGGUUCUCUGGGCCUUUCCUGACGCUGAGGAGCGAAAGCGUGGGGAGCGAACAGGCUUAGAUACCCUGGUAGUCCACGCUGUAAACGGUGGGUACUAGGUGUGGGGUCCAUUCCACGGGUUCCGUGCCGUAGCUAACGCUUUAAGUACCCCGCCUGGGGAGUACGGCCGCAAGGCUAAAACUCAAAGGAAUUGACGGGGCCCCGCACAAGCGGCGGAGCAUGCGGAUUAAUUCGAUGCAACGCGUAGAACCUUACCUGGGUUUGACAUGGAUCGGGAGUGCUCAGAGAUGGGUGUGCCUCUUUUGGGGUCGGUUCACAGGUGGUGCAUGGCUGUCGUCAGCUCGUGUCGUGAGAUGUUGGGUUAAGUCCCGCAACGAGCGCAACCCUUGUUCACUGUUGCCAGCACGUUAUGGUGGGGACUCAGUGGAGACCGCCGGGGUCAACUCGGAGGAAGGUGGGGAUGACGUCAAGUCAUCAUGCCCCUUAUGUCCAGGGCUUCACGCAUGCUACAAUGGCUGGUACAGAGAGUGGCGAGCCUGUGAGGGUGAGCGAAUCUCGGAAAGCCGGUCUCAGUUCGGAUUGGGGUCUGCAACUCGACCUCAUGAAGUCGGAGUCGCUAGUAAUCGCAGAUCAGCAACGCUGCGGUGAAUACGUUCCCGGG